GAAAGGUCGAAGGGAGAAAUUCAUUCGCGUUUCGUCGUCGGCGUUAGGCGAGAUCGAGUGACGGGAAACGUUUCGCGACGUUUUCCGCGCCUUUCGUUUAUCGAUCCGAUAACGAACGCGUGCACUUUUCUCCUGGUAGGACGUCGCGAUCCGUUGAGCGUCGGUCUACGGCUCGUCGGUGGAGCCCGUACGUACGGUUCGCGCCGUUAAACGUUCGGACCCGCGAGACAGAUUUUACACCGACCGACUCGCUCGACGGUAUACGAAAGGUUUAAGGCCGCGUUUUUUUUGUAAUUAAUACGCGUCCGACUCGCGACAAGCGCGCCAGAUGUUUGUCGGAAAUCGGACCCGGUGCCGAUUCUGACCUCUGGUGACUGUUGGUCGCGAUGAUGCGGUCGUCACUCUCGGACAGACCUCGAACCGAUCUGCGACGCUAUAGCUUUGGGUACUUUCAGGACCCGUCUUGAAACACGGACCAAGGAGUCUAGCAUGUGCGCGAGUCAUUGGGAAUCGUUAAACCUAAAGGCGUAAUAAAAGUAAAAGUUCGUCUCGCGCGAACCUAGGGAAGAUGAGCNGUUUUGUCGCCCUUAAAAGCGGCCGCUUCGCAUUCCCGGGGCGUCUCGUUCUCAUCGCGAGAAGAGGCGCACCAAGAGCGUACACGCUGGGACCCGAAAGAUGGUGAACUAUGCCUGGUCAGGACGAAGUCAGGGGAAACCCUGAUGGAGGUCCGUAGCGAUUCUGACGUGCAAAUCGAUCGUCGGAA
rnacentral:rRNA from 1 species